rnacentral:ncRNA from 1 species
AAAAAAAUUAUGAAGGAAAAAAGUAAUUAUGAUAAUUGAUAAGAGAGACGACGGUUGGUGAAAGUCGUACAAUGAUUAUAAUGAAGGUUCAUUCCAGAGUUGUAGGUUGAAAGUUUUCAUAAAUUAGUAGGCUGAACCGGGUUCCUGACGUUAUUAAGGAGAGAGAGGAUUUAUUUAUAUCAAAUUGGGUGGUACCGCGAAUAAUAUUCGUCCCUUGU